AACGGGUGAGUAACACGUGAGUAACCUGCCCCUGACUUCGGGAUAAGCCCGGGAAACUGGGUCUAAUACCGGAUACGACCGCCGGACGCAUGUCUGGUGGUGGAAAGUUUUUUCGGUUGGGGAUGGGCUCGCGGCCUAUCAGUUUGUUGGUGAGGUAAUGGCUCACCAAGACGACGACGGGUAGCCGGCCUGAGAGGGCGACCGGCCACACUGGGACUGAGACACGGCCCAGACUCCUACGGGAGGCAGCAGUGGGGAAUAUUGCACAAUGGGGGAAACCCUGAUGCAGCGACGCAGCGUGCGGGAUGACGGCCUUCGGGUUGUAAACCGCUUUCAGCAGGGAAGAAGCGCAAGUGACGGUACCUGCAGAAGAAGUACCGGCUAACUACGUGCCAGCAGCCGCGGUAAUACGUAGGGUACGAGCGUUGUCCGGAAUUAUUGGGCGUAAAGAGCUCGUAGGUGGUUGGUCACGUCUGCUGUGGAAACGCAACGCUUAACGUUGCGCGUGCAGUGGGUACGGGCUGACUAGAGUGCAGUAGGGGAGUCUGGAAUUCCUGGUGUAGCGGUGAAAUGCGCAGAUAUCAGGAGGAACACCGGUGGCGAAGGCGGGACUCUGGGCUGUAACUGACACUGAGGAGCGAAAGCAUGGGGAGCGAACAGGAUUAGAUACCCUGGUAGUCCAUGCCGUAAACGUUGGGCACUAGGUGUGGGGGGCAUUCCACGUUCUCCGCGCCGUAGCUAACGCAUUAAGUGCCCCGCCUGGGGAGUACGGUCGCAAGGCUAAAACUCAAAGGAAUUGACGGGGGCCCGCACAAGCGGCGGAGCAUGCGGAUUAAUUCGAUGCAACGCGAAGAACCUUACCAAGGCUUGACAUACACCGGACCGUCCUGGAAACAGGUCCUCUUCUUUGAAGCUGGUGUACAGGUGGUGCAUGGUUGUCGUCAGCUCGUGUCGUGAGAUGUUGGGUUAAGUCCCGCAACGAGCGCAACCCUCGUUCUAUGUUGCCAGCACGUGAUGGUGGGAACUCAUAGGAGACUGCCGGGGUCAACUCGGAGGAAGGUGGGGAUGACGUCAAAUCAUCAUGCCCUUUAUGUCUUGGGCUUCACGCAUGCUACAAUGGCCUGGUAC
rnacentral:rRNA from 1 species